rnacentral:rRNA from 1 species
GAUGAACGCUGGCGGCGUGCCUAAUACAUGCAAGUCGAGCGAACAGACGAGGAGCUUGCUCCUCUGACGUUAGCGGCGGACGGGUGAGUAACACGUGGAUAACCUACCUAUAAGACUGGGAUAACUUCGGGAAACCGGAGCUAAUACCGGAUAAUAUAUUGAACCGCAUGGUUCAAUAGUGAAAGACGGUUUUGCUGUCACUUAUAGAUGGAUCCGCGCCGCAUUAGCUAGUUGGUAAGGUGACGGCUUACCAAGGCAACGAUGCGUAGCCGACCUGAGAGGGUGAUCGGCCACACUGGAACUGAGACACGGUCCAGACUCCUACGGGAGGCAGCAGUAGGGAAUCUGCCGCAAUGGGCGAAAGCCUGACGGAGCAACGCCGCGUGAGUGAUGAAGGUCUUCGGAUCGUAAAACUCUGUUAUUAGGGAAGAACAAAUGUGUAAGUAACUAUGCACGUCUUGACGGUACCUAAUCAGAAAGCCACGGCUAACUACGUG